rnacentral:rRNA from 1 species
AACGAACGCUGGCGGCAGGCCUAACACAUGCAAGUCGAACGCACCGCAAGGUGAGUGGCGCACGGGUGAGUAACACGUGGGAAUGUACCCUUUGGUUCGGAAUAACGUUUGGAAACGAACGCUAAUACCGGAUGAGCCCUGCGGGGGAAAGAUUUAUCGCCAAAGGAGCAGCCCGCGUCUGAUUAGCUAGUUGGUGGGGUAAAGGCCUACCAAGGCGACGAUCAGUAGCUGGUCUGAGAGGAUGAUCAGCCACACUGGGACUGAGACACGGCCCAGACUCCUACGGGAGGCAGCAGUGGGGAAUAUUGGACAAUGGGCGCAAGCCUGAUCCAGCCAUGCCGCGUGAGUGAUGAAGGCCUUCGGGUUGGUUAAAGCUCUUUCGCACGCGACGAUGAUGACGGUAGCGUGAGAAGAAGCCCCGGCUAACUUCGUGCCAGCAGCCGCGGUAAU